AAAAUCUGAAAAAUGAAGACUACAAGGAAUUUUGCAGUUACAAUGUUAUUUUUAUUGGCUUUUUUCAUCUUGACAACAGAUUUUUGCUCGGCAGCAGGAGGAAAGUAUUCGUGUAAAACAGAUCACCAUUGUCAGCAGUUCUGUGGUAAAGAGAAAGGACGAUGUCUUGGUGGGCAGUGUUGGUGUUUCUCUCCACCAUCUUCCACUAGCAACAUACUACCCCCAAUUUUAAAUUAAGUUAAAUUUUGGGAUGUAAUAAUUAUAUAUGAAUAAAAUCAUAAUAUUAAAUUAAAAAUAUUAAUAAAAUUAAAUAUUUUAUUUUAUUUAAA